AUUGAACGCUGGCGGCAUGCCUUACACAUGCGAGUCGAACGGCAGCACGGGUGCUUGCACCUGGUGGCGAGUGGCGAACGGGUGAGUAAUAUAUCGGAACGUACCUUAUUGUGGGGGAUAACGCAGCGAAAGCUGUGCUAAUACCGCAUAAUCCCUAAGGGGGAAAGCGGGGGACCGUAAGGCCUCACGCAAUUAGAGCGGCCGAUACCUGAUUAGCUAGUUGGUGAGGUAAAGGCUCACCAAGGCAACGAUCAGUAGCGGGUCUGAGAGGACGAGCAGCCACACUGGGACGGAGACACGGCCCCGACUCCUACGGGAGGCAGCAGUGGGGAAUUUUGGACAAUGGGGGCAACCCUGAUCCAGCAAUGCCGCGUGAGUGAAGAAGGCCUUCGGGUUGUAAAGCUCUCUUGUCAGGGAAGAAACAGCAGCUCUAACACAGUCUGCGAAUGACGGUACCUGAAGAAUAAGCACCGGCUAACUACGUGCCAGCCGCCGCUGUAA
rnacentral:rRNA from 1 species